GAUCUUUUUGACUUGAUACUGCUCAGUUAUAUGACAUGCAGCUGCCCUUUGCUUUGUAUACUGUAGAAGUGGGUGAAGGGAUAGAAAUGUGCAAGACUAGCUGGGUUUGAGUGUGCUCCAAAUUACUCUGUGCAGCUAAGCAGUGCGGUGGAACAGUGUGUUGAUGCACACCGAGAUUUCACAGGAAUCCUCCAGAGAGAUCUCCUCCAGAGAGAUCUCCAGGAAACUUUGCUGGAAGUACUCGCCAAUCCUCUGCCAAAGGUUCCUUGGCAGAGCUGCUUUGUUCCUUCCCCCAUUGUAGGAAACUUUCCCAUGCCACUUGGCAAUCACUUGUUCAGGGACUAAAGCGGCACACAGGUCAGCCACGUAGGGACCGAGUCUGAAGCUGCACGUGUGCAGUAGAUGUACCCUGGUAUCCUUGCUUAUCCUCAGGAGUGAGAUAUCUGCUUCAGUGACCCCUGCAUGUGGAAAAUGGUGGCAGAAUCUACAACAUUGUCCCUAGGCGCCUGCACUGAUCCCUUUGAAACAUAGCGUGUUCGGCAAGGUGUGUGCUUGCUAAGGAUGUGGCCUUCAGGGGAGUGACUCUGGCAGGUAAGGAAGCAACCAAGGUGUAGCGAGGAAGACAUGUUCCAAAAGGUGCUCCAAUCCUCUGAGGCAGAGAAUGCAGGGAAUGGCGAGAAAUGGAAAGGCAGGACAGAAAGGAGAGUGAGGCGUGCAUUCAAAAGGUCCAUGAGCAGAUGAUAAAAGUCACGGAAGAGCGAACAGAGAUGCUGAAGUCCCUAGUCAUACUGCAGUCAGAACAGAUGCGUGCUUUACCCUCUGCAGCCGAUACAGAACUGUUUUCCAUGCCUUCCCCAAACUCCUCCCAUACAUUCCUUUCAACUUUUCGGAACAUCUCGGUAUCCCGUUCACUCCACCCCUUUGGAUAGCUUCCAAAAUGAUAGUUGAUUUACGCACAGCUCUGAGAGCUUACACUGCCCUUCACUGAUCUCUUCCUUCCCACCAAGCCUUUUCUGUGUGUUAAUCGGUGUUUAAUAAAAACAAACUCUCUGAAAGAUAA